CACCAUCUGCUUUACUGUUCAGAGGUUAAUUAUCCACCAGAAAAUUCUCCCUAGAAAUUUAGGGUCAGUUUUACCAAACCACCAAGCCAGAUCGCCAGGGGUGUUGGACAACAUUAUCGUAAACUGGUGAGGGUCACAAGGUGGUGAAUGUGUAUAUGUUGUUGUAUGCCUAUAUGUCUUAUCAUAUUCCAUUGGAAAUAUUCAUAGUGUUUGGUUACUAAUUAUUGUGUGUCUCUGGCAUUACUUGUACUUUCCAUGAGCAAAGUAAGUGAAUGUUUUCUGUAAACACAUACCAUAGAACUUAAGACAGGCAUACAAAUAAGUCAUAUUUUUCUUCUUCAAAAAUCUGGAAUUCUUUACAAAGAAAAGAAAAAAAAAAAAACUAAAACUCCUGUCCAUGCUGCUUGUUCUAGAAAGGGAUAUUGGCACAUACACACAGCCCUGCUUUUCCCAUUCCAGGUGGACAAUAUCUGACAGUGUCGGCAGCCAAAGCCCCAGGGGGAAAAGCUGCACGCUUGGUGCUACCUCUCGGCCGCCUCAUGCAUUCAGGGGACCUGUGCCUGUCAUUCAGGCACAAGGUGACGGGGUUGCACUCUGGCACACUCCAGGUGUUUGUGAGAAAACACGGUGCCCAUGGAGCAGCCCUGUGGGGAAGAAAUGGUGGCCAUGGCUGGAGGCAAACACAGAUCACCUUGCGAGGGGCUGACAUCAAGAGCGUCAUCUUCAAAGGUGAAAAAAGGCGUGGUCACACUGGGGAGAUUGGAUUAGAUGAUGUGAGCUUGAAAAAAGGCCACUGCUCUGAAGAACGCUAACAACUCCAGAACUAACAAUGAACUCCUAUGUUGCUCUAUCCUCUUUUUCCAAUUCUCAUCUUCUCUCCUCUUCUCCCUUUUAUCAGGCCUAGGAGAAGAGUGGGUCAUUGGGUCAGAAGGAAGUCUAUUUGGUGACCCAGGUUUUGCUGGCCUGCUUUUGUGCAAUCCCAAUGAACAGUGAUACCCUCCUUGAAAUACAGGGGCAUCGUAGACACAUCAAAGCCAUCUGUAGGUGUUGCCUUCCAUCCUGUGUCUCUUUCAGGAAGGCAUUCAGCAUGCGUGAGCCAUACUAUCCUCCAUCCUGAUUACAAGGUGCUCCUUGUAGCAAAUUAUGGGAGUGAGUUACGGGAGCAGUUUUUAAAAGAAAUCUUUGCAGAUGGCCAUGAUGUUAUGUGUUCGGUGUUGUACCAUGAGUAGUAUUGACUUCCCUUGAGAUAUGGUGUACAAUAUGCUUGUGAAAUUGACUUACCCUCUUCACUUAAGUUAGUUCUGGCCUGACCUGAACUCUGACUUUUACUGCCAUUCACUUUAUAAAAUAAGGGUGUGUAACAUAUCAAGAUACAUGUAUUUUUAUCUGUUUUUUUUUUUUUUCCUGUUAAAGACAAUUAUGUAGAGUGGGCACGUAAUCCCUCCUUAGUAGUAUUGUGUUUUGUGUAAAUGUGCUAUUGAUAUUAAGUAUUUACAUGUUCCAAAUAUUUACAGACUCUAGUUGCAAGGUAAAGGGCAGCUUGUGAUCUCAAAAAAGUACAUGGUGAAAUGUCAUCCAGUUCCAUGACCUUAUAUUGGCAGCAGUAGGAAAUUGGCAGAAGUGUUGGGUUGUGGUAACGGAGUGAUGAAUUUUUUUUUUAAUGGCCUUGAGUUUGAUCUCUGCAAAGGAUAGGAAACCUUUAGGAAGACAAGAAACUGCAGUUAAUUUAGAACUGUCACUUUCAAGUUACACUUUAAAACCACAGCUUUUACCAUCAUAACAUGGCUCUGGUAAUAUGUAGGAAGCUUUAUAAAAGUUUUGGUUGAUUCAGAAAAAGGAUCCUGUUGCAGAGUGAGAGGAAGCAUAGGGGAAACUCCAUUGGAACAGAUUUUCACACAACGUUUUAAAUUGAUAUAAGUUUAGGCAGUUGUAGUUCAUAACUUAUGUUGCUCAUGUUGUGCUGUGUCAGGAUGGGAUAGGAAGCAAGUCCCAUGCUUAGAGGCAUGGGAUGUGUUGGAACGGGAUUUACACACACUGGAGGAGCAGGGCAAGUUGGAAUUCUAAGAUCCAUGAACCCCCAACUGUAUUUCCUCCCUGCAUAUUUUACCAAUAUAUUAAAAAACAAUGUAACUUUUAAAAGGCAUCAUUCCUGAGGUUUGUCUUAAUUUCUGAUUAAGUAAUCAAAAUAUUUUCUGCUGUUUUUGCCAGGAAUCACAAAGAUGAUUAAAGGGUUGGAAAAAAAGAUCUAUGAUGAAAAAUUAAAGGAACUGGGAUUAUUGAGCCUGGAGAAGAGAAGACUGAGGGGCAAACCAUUGAUGGUUUUCAAGUAUAUGAAGGGUUGGCACAGAGAGGGUGGCGACCAGCUGUUCUCCAUAUGCACUAAGAAUAGAACAAGAGGAAACUGGCUUAGACUAGAGUAUAAGGGAGCAUUUCUUGGCAGGGGCCAUUGUUAAAUUAGAAUACUUCAUAAAAAAAGAAGUGUGAAAAUCUCAGUAUCUCUCUCUCUUUCUAAAAAAAUUAGAUAAAAAUUUGUCUAUUUAAGAUGGUUAAAGAUGUUCUUACCCAAGGAAAAGUAACAAAUUAUAGAAUUUCCCAAAAGAUGUUUUGAUCCUACUAGUAGUAUGCAGCGAAAAUCUUUAGAACUAAGUAAUUUGGACAAGGCUUAAUUUAGGCAUUUCCCUCUUGACCUCCUAAUGGAGAGGGAUUGAAAGGGGAAGAGCCCACCAAAUGCUGAGCUCACUGAAAUAUCUCUCCCUUAUGGCAAUCCUAGCAGUAUUAAAGAAAAAAGGAAACUAUUUAUUCCAAAUGAGAGUAUGAUGGACAGAUAUUUUAGUAUCUCAGUAAUGUCCUAGUGUGGCGGUGGUUUUAAAUGUUUCUUCAUGGUAAAGGUAUAAGCCUUUCAUUUGUUCAAUGGAUGAUGUUUCAGAUUUUUUUUUUUUUUUAAGAGAUCCUUCAAGGAACACAAUUCAGAGAGAUUUUCAUCGGGUGCAUUCUCUCUGCUUCGUGUGUGACAAGUUAUCUUGGCUGCGAGAAAGAGUGCCCUGCCCCACACUGGCAGACCUUUCCUUCACCUCAUCAGUAUGAUUCAGUUUCUCUUAUCAAUUGGACUCUCCCAGGUUCCACAGAACCGUAAUAUUUUUUGAACAAUAGGUACAAUAGAAGGUCUUCUGUCAUUUAACCUGGUAAAGGCAGGGCUGGAGGGGGAAAAUAAAUCAUUAAGCCUUUGAGUAACGGCAGAAUAUAUGGCUGUAGAUCCAUUUUUAAUGGUUCAUUUCCUUUAUGGUCAUAUAACUGCACAGCUGAAGAUGAAAGGGGAAAAUAAAUGAAAAUUUUACUUUUCGAUGCCAAUGAUACAUUGCACUAAACUGAUGGAAGAAGUUAUCCAAAGUACUGUAUAACAUCUUGUUUAUUAUUUAAUGUUUUCUAAAAUAAAAAAUGUUAGUGGUUUUCCAAAUGGCCUAAUAAAAACAAUUAUUUGUAAAUAAAAAC
rnacentral:lncRNA from 1 species